rnacentral:rRNA from 1 species
UCUGGGAUAAGCGCUGGAAACGGCGUCUAAUACUGGAUACGAGUAGCGGCCGCAUGGUCAGUUACUGGAAAGAUUUAUUGGUUGGGGAUGGGCUCGCGGCCUAUCAGCUUGUUGGUGAGGUAAUGGCUCACCAAGGCGUCGACGGGUAGCCGGCCUGAGAGGGUGACCGGCCACACUGGGACUGAGACACGGCCCAGACUCCUACGGGAGGCAGCAGUGGGGAAUAUUGCACAAUGGGCGCAAGCCUGAUGCAGCAACGCCGCGUGAGGGAUGACGGCCUUCGGGUUGUAAACCUCUUUUAGCAGGGAAGAAGCGAGAGUGACGGUACCUGCAGAAAAAGCACCGGCUAACUACGUGCCAGCAGCCGCGGUAAUACGUAGGGUGCAAGCGUUAUCCGGAAUUAUUGGGCGUAAAGAGCUCGUAGGCGGUUUGUCGCGUCUGCUGUGAAAUCUGGGGGCUCAACCCCCAGCCUGCAGUGGGUACGGGCAGACUAGAGUGCGGUAGGGGAGAUUGGAAUUCCUGGUGUAGCGGUGGAAUGCGCAGAUAUCAGGAGGAACACCGAUGGCGAAGGCAGAUCUCUGGGCCGUAACUGACGCUGAGGAGCGAAAGGGUGGGGAGCAAACAGGCUUAGAUACCCUGGUAGUCCACCCCGUAAACGUUGGGAACUAGUUGUGGGGUCCAUUCCACGGAUUCCGUGACGCAGCUAACGCAUUAAGUUCCCCGCCUGGGGAGUACGGCCGCAAGGCUAAAACUCAAAGGAAUUGACGGGGACCCGCACAAGCGGCGGAGCAUGCGGAUUAAUUCGAUGCAACGCGAAGAACCUUACCAAGGCUUGACAUAUACGAGAA